rnacentral:rRNA from 1 species
GACGAACGCUGGCGGCGUGCCUAAUACAUGCAAGUCGAGCGGGCGGAAGGGGAGCUUGCUCUCUGGAAGCCAGCGGCGGACGGGUGAGUAACACGUGGGCAACCUACCCGGCAGACCGGGAUAACGCCUGGAAACGGGUGCUAAUACCGGAUAGGCGCAGAGGACGCAUGUUCUGUGCGGGAAAGGCGCUACGGCGCCACUGUCGGAUGGGCCCGCGGCGCAUUAGCUAGUUGGUGGGGUAACGGCCCACCAAGGCGACGAUGCGUAGCCGACCUGA